UCGAGAAUCUUCCGCAAUGGGCGCAAGCCUGACGGAGCGACGCCGCGUGCGGGAUGAAGGCCUUCGGGUUGUAAACCGCUGUCAGUGGGGUGGAAAUGCAUGAGGGUUCUCUCUCAUGUUUGACCUAACCGCAGAGGAAGUCCGGGCUAAGUACGUGCCAGCAGCCGCGGUAACACGUACCGGACGAACGUUAUUCGGAAUCACUGGGCUUAAAGAGUGCGUAGGCGGCCUGUUAGGUGGGGUGUGAAAGCCCACGGCUCAACCGUGGAAUUGCGCUCCAAACCAUCAGGCUUGAGGGAGACAGGGGUGAGCGGAACUGAUGGUGGAGCGGUGAAAUGCGUUGAUAUCAUCAGGAACACCGGUGGCGAAGGCGGCUCACUGGGUCUCUUCUGACGCUGAGGCACGAAAGCUAGGGGAGCGAACGGGAUUAGAUACCCCCGUAGUCC
rnacentral:rRNA from 1 species